GUUUAUCGAUUGGUAAUGUCAACGAAAAAUAACAAAGCGAAACAUGCGUAAAUUUUAUAAAAAAAAUUUAAAGCUAGUAAAUUAAAUAUUUUUUAUAUCUUUUUUUUUAUUAAACUAUAUUCUUACUUAUCACUUGCCGUUAUUUUUGUGUGCUUUUUUUUUGCUUCUGUGCUGCAUAUAUGCUUGUAUAUUUCGACUUUUGUUGCGCGCUAGUUGGUUUUUCGUAAUUUUUUUUUUUGAUUGCGAAGUGGCACAUAAGUUGUUAACUCAUAAUUCGUAAUUUGAAUGGACGGAUAUAAAUAAGUAUUUGAAAGAAAAAAUUUAAAUGCCGUGAAAUUUAUGAUUUUUCUAUUAAACUAUUACUACAUUGAUUUGUUUAUAUAAUGUAAUACAAUCGAUAAAUUGUGUUUAUUAACAAUGGCAAGCUUAAUUGUACUUCUGUAGUAGUAGAGUCAGAACGAAUUGUAAAAAACGAACAAGUGGAUUGUUUGUUGGUAGCUGAUACAAAUCAACAGUUUUCAGCUGGAAGUCGGAGUGAGGGAAAUAUGAUUUUCAAUUUAAAAUUAUCUAAAUAAGGAAAUUUUAUAUCGAAACCUUCUAAAUAACUUUGUGAAGGUUAAAAAUAACAAGGCAACAUGAAAGCUGAUAUCGUUACUGAGUAUACGGUGUUCCAACUUUCAACUUUAUAAAUACUUUAUAGUUAAAAAUAUUCUAAAAUUUAAAAGAUGACCGUACUCACCCUCGAUAUAAUGAUGCCAGCAAUACUAAUGCGUAUCUUUGGGCCUUUUAGUAAACGAUAGCGCAAAUCAACGCCGUUCCAGAAUGAAACGAAGUAACGCUUUACCUGGUGAAAUAAAAGAAAAGAAAUAAAAAGAACAAAAGUUAACAACAAAGUGAUAAACGCUGCACCUAGAUAAACAGAAAAAUAGCUGUAUAAAAAUUAUAAAAAAUAAUGCACAAUUAUUCUGACAAAUAAUAAGUGUUCUGCAAAAUAAUUAUUUUGACUGAGAAUCUGCCGUUAAGAAAAAGAAGAAACCACAUAUUCCUCUUUUGCUGUCUGCCGCGUAAAUCCAUAAAGAGUUGGAAUGCGUGCGCGGCUUGUUGCAGUUGACUGACAAGCUGCCGACAGCUGCUAGCUAGAUUUGAUUUAUGAAAACGCGAUAAUGAAAGAUUCGUCUGUGGGAGUUAAUGUGGUAAAAUGUAUGGCGUAAAACUCAAAACGUGUGAGCCGAUGAAAUGCCGCCGAAGCGUAAAGCAAUAAAUUGAGUGGUAUGUGCCGAAGCAGCUGAUUAAGUGAUUAUGUUCUUGGAAUUUGAUGUUAUCAAAAAUAAUGCUGUAAGCUGAAGUGCCAAGGGGAUAGAUAAUAUAAGGCAGUUGACGUCUGUUACGUGUAAAUCUGGCUUCCGCUGACUCCAAUUCACCAUCCACAUCCUCUAACGCUGCUUCAUCGUCAUCUUCGGCAGGCGCUGCGCGACGUUGGCGAUGCUGUUGUAAUCGUUCAAGUUUCUCGCUGGUAGCCAAAUCAUCGGGUUCCAUAAAAGCUGCAAAGGAAGUGAAACAAGUUAAUUAGGAAAUCAUAAAAAAUUAUGGAUUUGUAGCAUAAGGAUUAAUUGAGUGUCACGUGCCGUUUUUAUGUAACUUCAAAGUGUGUCGUAACUAAAUAUUUAUAAUUCAUUUAAUAACGUAGUAUACAUAAGAAUUGAUUUAGUUCACUGCCCUAAAAUUUGAUGACUAAAUUAUGUUCCGAAAAUUUCCGCGUUUUCGGUAGUUGAACUUUUAAUGAACUAUAACAGUUAAGAAGUAAUUUAAAAAAUUAAUUUUUAAAUACGAACAAAAUUCAUUUCAGUUGAGUACUUUAGUGCGCUGCAGUUCUUUUGAGUAGUGCAGCUUGUAGUUAUUGGUGAUUAUGAUAUCCAUAAAAAUUUUAGCAGUUCAUUAACACACAUAUUUAUAAAUGGAAAAAUUGUCUUCCAAAAAACACUUAAAUUUUUUUAAAAUAUUUUUUUCUUCGUUACCCUUUUACUUUAAAUUUGACAGUCAUAAAAAACCAAUUUAUUUGCUAUAGCUUGCUGACUGAAGGUUGCUACAACUGCGGGUUGUAAUCUAGGAAAUCGUUGACUUUUCGGUUUUAUCGCGUGGGCAGCAAUGAGAAAGAAAUAAAAAAUUUGAAAAGUCUUAUUGUAAAAGGCAAACAAAUUAA